rnacentral:rRNA from 1 species
AAAUUGAAGAGUUUGAUCAUGGCUCAGAUUGAACGCUGGCGGCAGGCCUAACACAUGCAAGUCGAACGGUAACAGGAAGAAGCUUGCUUCUUUGCUGACGAGUGGCGGACGGGUGAGUAAUGUCUGGGAAACUGCCUGAUGGAGGGGGAUAACUACUGGAAACGGUAGCUAAUACCGCAUAACGUCGCAAGACCAAAGAGGGGGACCUUCGGGCCUCUUGCCAUCGGAUGUGCCCAGAUGGGAUUAGCUAGUAGGUGGGGUAACGGCUCACCUAGGCGACGAUCCCUAGCUGGUCUGAGAGGAUGACCAGCCACACUGGAACUGAGACACGGUCCAGACUCCUACGGGAGGCAGCAGUGGGGAAUAUUGCACAAUGGGCGCAAGCCUGAUGCAGCCAUGCCGCGUGUAUGAAGAAGGCCUUCGGGUUGUAAAGUACUUUCAGCGGGGAGGAAGGGAGUAAAGUUAAUACCUUUGCUCAUUGACGUUACCCGCAGAAGAAGCACCGGCUAACUCCGUGCCAGCAGCCGCGGUAAUACGGAGGGUGCAAGCGUUAAUCGGAAUUACUGGGCGUAAAGCGCACGCAGGCGGUUUGUUAAGUCAGAUGUGAAAUCCCCGGGCUCAACCUGGGAACUGCAUCUGAUACUGGCAAGCUUGAGUCUCGUAGAGGGGGGUAGAAUUCCAGGUGUAGCGGUGAAAUGCGUAGAGAUCUGGAGGAAUACCGGUGGCGAAGGCGGCCCCCUGGACGAAGACUGACGCUCAGGUGCGAAAGCGUGGGGAGCAAACAGGAUUAGAUACCCUGGUAGUCCACGCCGUAAACGAUGUCGACUUGGAGGUUGUGCCCUUGAGGCGUGGCUUCCGGAGCUAACGCGUUAAGUCGACCGCCUGGGGAGUACGGCCGCAAGGUUAAAACUCAAAUGAAUUGAAGGGGGCCCGCACAAGCGGUGGAGCAUGUGGUUUAAUUCGAUGCAACGCGAAGAACCUUACCUGGUCUUGACAUCCACGGAAGUUUUCAGAGAUGAGAAUGUGCCUUCGGGAACCGUGAGACAGGUGCUGCAUGGCUGUCGUCAGCUCGUGUUGUGAAAUGUUGGGUUAAGUCCCGCAACGAGCGCAACCCUUAUCCUUUGUUGCCAGCGGUCCGGCCGGGAACUCAAAGGAGACUGCCAGUGAUAAACUGGAGGAAGGUGGGGAUGACGUCAAGUCAUCAUGGCCCUUACGACCAGGGCUACACACGUGCUACAAUGGCGCAUACAAAGAGAAGCGACCUCGCGAGAGCAAGCGGACCUCAUAAAGUGCGUCGUAGUCCGGAUUGGAGUCUGCAACUCGACUCCAUGAAGUCGGAAUCGCUAGUAAUCGUGGAUCAGAAUGCCACGGUGAAUACGUUCCCGGGCCUUGUACACACCGCCCGUCACACCAUGGGAGUGGGUUGCAAAAGAAGUAGGUAGCUUAACCUUCGGGAGGGCGCUUACCACUUUGUGAUUCAUGACUGGGGUGAAGUCGUAACAAGGUAACCGUAGGGGAACCUGCGGUUGGAUCACCUCCUUACCUUAAAGAAGC